GGCCUUCCGUCUGAGCUCCGCCAGAGAGAGGCGCGGGGACCCGGCCAGCCCGUCUGCACCGCGGACACCGACGUCCACGUCCAGCAGAGGACGGGGAGCCCGCUCUGGGCCAAGGCGCUAAAUGCGCCAACGGCCCCGCGAAGAGCGCACGGGGACCGUGUCCGUGAGACACCGGAGGAAACCAAGGCACAGUGCGGUUAACUUGUCCACCGCCACGUGCCAACACGCCGAAGAGCCAACAUCUGAAGAGCUCUGCGGGACUCCGAAGCCGGUUUUUGUCGGUUCCGUACAAGUUUGUGGCAGGCACGGAGCGAAGCUUCUGGUCCGGUGCGGGGACAAGGCGACCUAGGGGCUCCAAGUCACAGAGACAAGAAGGAUUAGCUGUGUGGACCGAGGCGUCACUGGAGAAGACUGCGGAGGGGGAGUCCUGAAUAGGGCUUCAGAGGAUGCGCAGGAGCUCUCCAAACGGGAAGGCGCGCAGUAAACCAGACUAGGAGGCGCAGAGGCACAGCGGUGGGAGACGGCUCAAGGGCUUUCCGCAGCUGAAGCCCCUGGAGCCUCUGAGAAAGGUUGAAUGGCAUCCCCCCAAAACAUCAAGUUUAAAUCCUAAGCCUUGGUACCUGUGAACGACCUUAUAUGGAAAUAGGGUCUUUGCAACUAAUCAAGUCAAGAAGUCAUACUGGAUUAGGAUGUGCCUUAAACUAAAUGACUAGUGUCCUGAUAAGAAGAGGGAGAUUUGGAGACCCCAAACACACAGGAAAAAAUAAACUUGUUGUUUUAA